UUUAUUUGUCAGUAGAUACUCAGCAAACGAAGAUUUGCAAUUCAUUGUGUAAUUUUAGCAUUCUUUCACCAAUUUGGUGAUAAAUCGUGUUCUCGUGUGUGGCACGACGGCAACAUGAGGUAUGUGUGAAGUGCAUGCUCACAAUCCCCGCUCGGCCACAGGCCCGGCCGUGGGGUGGCCCCUGGAGGCGUGGGUACGUUUGUUCACGAGUAUGAUGCAUGUCAAUUUUCUGGAAAAGUUGUCAAGUGUAGCACAACAGCGCAGUCUGAGCGCUGCGGCGACGACGAGCAAGCAAUUUGCGAGGCUAAACGCGCGUGUGUGCGCAUGCGUCGCGAUCUGAACGCGCAUGUGUGCGUGCACGUAAAGUGAAGGUCGAAUAUUUUGUCCCUACUCCUCGGUUUAUUGGUGUUCACGAGUCGGCACUGUGAUAAUGAGGCUCUGCCGUCUCGCUCGCACCACCGCGCACGCGCGCCGACCGAGCGGGACGGACAGCAGAGUGCGCGUGCGGCUUAGCCUCCGCCGGCGCCGGCGCGGCCUGCCCUCUUCAGUCUCCCCGCGACGGGGAAGCAGUUCGCGUGUGCCGCUCCACGUCGGUUCUCCCUGUGACUUCCGACCGCUCUUCGUCGCACACGAAUAUUUUUAGAUAACAGUGCGAACAAUUUAUUCGCAAGUUAGUGAUCGCGCGCACUUUUGUGGAUACGGGUAUCGGCGCAUGCGGGCGCGUUUCGAUCGCAAAGUGGCAAGACGGGCAGGCGGUCGGCGGUAGCGCUCGAGCGAGCUACCGCGGCUGGCGCAGAGACGUCCCGAUAGCUUUGGCAACACUACAACAUUGCGCGCUAGGCGACCGAAUUUGGGACAAUGAUCGGCUAAAUUUUUCAUCCGACGUCACCGUAACAAAGAUCGGGCACUAGAUCGGGGCGAUGCUUGGUGGCGAAUUCCGGGCUGAGUCAGCAUGAUGUCAUGGCAUACGGCUUAAUGGGAGCGUCCCUACACGUCAUACACCAUUCCUGCCGCAUGACAAAUUCA